CGCUUAUGCAGGUGGCUUACAACAAUUUCCGGUAUCGAAAGAUAUGCAGACAUCAUUAUGUAGGUAAAUGCACUAGGUAUACAAAUACAAUUCAACAUAUGGUCCAAACUACAAAAGAAAAAUAUAACUAGUACUUAUGACUAAGAAAAUGUGUUAAAUGUUCACAAAGGCUCCCCCUCUCAAUGUUGUGUACGCAGUAUAAGGCCUUAGUUCACUGGUGGGAAAAAAUAUUAUUAUCUAUAUGGUUGCGAUGCGUUUUAUUAUAUAUUUUUUAAUUCUACAUACCUUCCUGUUUAGUAUUAUACAAGUUAUUGACUAGAAAACAUAUUAUAUUAUUCUGAUAUUCAACGCUGUAAAUUAUUAUAUAGUUAUUAUACAGCAGAUUUGUACUUACGAAAAUGGCAAAAACUAUUAUUAUUAUGAUAGCUAUAUUAUUUAUAUUAAAUGUUCUUGGUUGUGCAUACGCUG